UGUAAGUGCUACAACUGAUUA
ensembl:piRNA 21ur-3028 ncRNA